rnacentral:rRNA from 1 species
UACGUAGGGUGCAAGCGUUAAUCGGAAUUACUGGGCGUAAAGCGUGCGCAGGCGGUGAUGUAAGCCAGUUGUGGAAUCCCCGGGCUCAACCUGGGAACUGCAUCUGUGACUGCAUCGCUGGAGUGCGGCAGAGGGGGAUGGAAUUCCGCGUGUAGCAGUGAAAUGCGUAGAUAUGCGGAGGAACACCGAUGGCGAAGGCAAUCCCCUGGGCCUGCACUGACGCUCAUGCACGAAAGCGUGGGGAGCAAACAGG